rnacentral:rRNA from 1 species
GACGAACGCUGGCGGCGUGCCUAAUACAUGCAAGUAGAACGCUGAAGAGAGGAGCUUGCUCUUCUUGGAUGAGUUGCGAACGGGUGAGUAACGCGUAGGUAACCUGCCUUGUAGCGGGGGAUAACUAUUGGAAACGAUAGCUAAUACCGCAUAACAAUGGAUGACACAUGUCCUUUAUUUGAAAGGGGCAAUUGCUCCACUACAAGAUGGACCUGCGUUGUAUUAGCUAGUAGGUGAGGUAAUGGCUCACCUAGGCGACGAUACAUAGCCGACCUGAGACGGUGAUCGGCCACACUGGGACUGAGACACGGCCCAGACUCCUACGGGAGGCAGCAGUAGGGAAUCUUCGGCAAUGGGGGCAACCCUGACCGAGCAACGCCGCGUGAGUGAAGAAGGUUUUCGGAUCGUAAAGCUCGGUUGUAAGUCAAGAACGGGUGUGAGAGUGGAAAGUUCACACUGUGACGGUAGCUUACCAGAAAGGGACGGCUAACUACGUG